rnacentral:rRNA from 1 species
GACGAACGCUGGCGGCGUGCUUAACACAUGCAAGUCGAGCGGUAAGGCCCUUUCGGGGUACGACGAGCGGCGAACGGGUAGGAGUAACAACGUGGGUGGACCUCGCCCUCCAGCUCUGGGAGUAAAGCCUCGGGAAACGUAGGGUCGUAAUAACUGGAGUAUGACUCCACGGUGCAUGUCGUGGGGUGGGAAAGACCUUGUGCGGC